UGAGGACACAGCAAGAGGGUGCUAUCUAUGAGGAACAGGCCUUCAUCAGACACCAAAUCUACUGGCACCUCCACCUUGAACUUUCCAGCCCCAAGAAGUUUUCUUUUCUAGUUUCGGCAUCAAAGUUAUUCCAGAAUCACAAAAUGAAAUGUGAAAUAUUCUCUUACAUUUUCUCUUCUGUUGGUCAGCUGGAAGAAAGCAGAUAUUAAAUCUUUCCUAUUUGUUUGAACUUGCAGAUGUACAUGUACUACUCAUGUUUUCAUCAGGAGAACAGAAACACAUUAUAUAUUUCAAGAGGGAAUUUAACAUUGUCCCAUCUUUAUCAGCAGCAUGAAAAUGGACUAAUACACUGACAGUCCCAGGACUGGGAGUGAAUGAAACAGGAAAAAGCUGGUGGCCCAACACUGUGUGGAAGCUGCCAAGGCUUGGGGCAUGCACCCUCUGAAGCAAUGACCUGAGCUGUAUCUUGGCCUCUUUUAGCUACAGCUGGAGCUGGAGCAGCUGAGACCCAUGGUACUAUGUCCUGAGGCUGUAGAGAGCAGUGGGGCCCUGGGCCUGGCCCAGGAAUCCAUUUUUCCCUCUUAGGCCUCUGAGGGGCUGUGAUGGGAGGGGCUGUGAUGGGAGGGGCUGCUAUGAAGAUCUCUGAAAUGCCCUGGAGACAUUUGUCCCAUUGUCUUGGUUAUUAAUGUUGGAAUCCUCAUUAGUUAUGCACAUUUCUGCAGCUGGCUUGAAUUUUUCCCGCAGAAAAUGGGUUUUUCUUUUCCACCACAUGGUCAGCUGCAAAUUUUCCAAGUUUUUCAUUCUGCUUCACUUUUAAGCAUAAGGUCCAAUUUCAAACCAUCUCUUUGUGAAUGCAUAUGACUGUACACUUUCAGAACAAACCAGGUCACCUCUUGAAUGCUUUGCCACUUAGAAAUUUCUUCAUCCAGAUACCGUAACUCAUCUCUCUCAAAUUCAAAGUUUCACAGAUCUCUAGGGCAGGGGCAAAAUGCCACCAGUCUCUUGGCUAAAGCAUAGUAAGAAUGAUCUUUCCUCCAGUUCCCAGUAAGUUUCUCAUCUCCAUCUGAGACCACCGCAGCCUGGAUUUCGUUGUUCAUCUCAUACCAGCAUUUUGGUCAAAACCAUUCAAGUCUCUAGGAAAUUCUAAACUUUCUCACAUCUUCCUGUCUUCUUCUGAGCCAUCCAAACUGUUCCAACCUCUGCCUGUUAUCCAGUUCCAAAGCUGCUUCCACAUUUUCAGGUUAUUUUUAUAGCAGUGUCCCACUCCCAGUACCAAUUUCCUGUAUUAGUUCAUUUUCACACUGCUGUAAAGAACUACCUGAGACUGGACAAUUUAUAAAGGAGAAAGGUUUAAUUGACACAGUUCUGCAUGGCUGUGAAGGCUUCAGGAAACUUACAAUCAUGGCAGAAGGUGAAGGAGAAGCAAGUACCUUCUUCACAAGGCAGCAGGAGGGAGAGACAGUGAGGGAGGAACUGUCAAACACUUUCAAACCAUCAGAUCUCAUGAGAACUCAUUCACUAUCAUAAGAAUAGCAUGAGGGAAGCUAUCCCCAUGAUCCAAUCACCUCCCACCAGGUCCCUUUUGGGUGGGGACACAGAGCCAAACCAUAUCCAUAAGAAAAAAAUUAUUAAUUGAACUGCAUAAAUAUUUAGUAAGUGAAUUAAAUCUAUGCUUACAUAUUUAUGAAUUUAUUAUUAUAGAUAUUUGCUCCAAAAAUCAAUACCAAGUCUAGAAUUUGGUAAAAAAACUAAAAGACCCAAGCUCAGGGAGACCAGUGGCCUGCGGGCUAUGGAAUGACUUUUAUUGAAAUGCCUGAUUCUAUAGAUUAACGUUUGUGUGGCUCAGGUCAAGAUGCUUCAUCUCUCAGUGUCAAUAUGUUCUUUAAGAUGGGAAAUAUACUAAUGCCACCCAUUAAACAGGCCUAAUGUGGAGGCCUUUUUGACUACGUGGACUUCCUGAUCCUGUGCCAGGCAGCUGGUAAGGGGGCUAUCUGGCCUCUGUGUGCUCAUGUCCUCUUGGCGUUUCUGAAGCACUCAAAGGUUAGUGCAUCCAGGUUACCCUCAACCACAAGGCCCAAGGUUGAGAGAAAUACCCCAGUUUCCUCUGUCCUCAGUAAGACAAUUUCAAGUCAGGUCCACCCAGGUUUCUCACAGCCUCAUCAGUAGGAAGAGUUGAGCUUUUGUUGCCCACAGUGAUAAUUCCCUCAUUAACAUGCUCUUUUUUGGCGCUUUUCCUUCCCUUGGCUCAUGUCCACAUGCCCACACAUUGUUUCCUGGGUCACAUCCUAAAUAAAUACAUUUACAAAUCCAUGCCUCAAAGUCUGCUUUGCUAGGAACCAAACUUUGACAGCUAACCCACCUCAACUGAGUGCACAUCCUGGCGCAGGCUCGAAGCCCAGAGAAGGCUGGUUGCCACUGGAACACCCAGGAGCCCCUCACACUGUGCUUCGCCUACGUUGUGUGACUUCCGAGCCAUAGCAUGUGAGAACCUCCCAAGAAUUUAUCUGGAAGCUUUCUCAAUGAGUAAAAGUAAACAGAUUUGGGGUGGGGUCUUGCAUUUCCCAAAGCACACAGACAGAAUUCAUUGUAUUAAUAUAGCUUUUUAUUUUGAAUUUACUCAUACAGAGUGAAGAAAUACCUUAGAAAGAGAUAUUUCUGGUAAAAGGGGUGUGCUCUGACCUACAGGCUAAAGUGCCUCAACUGGAUUCACUUGUGUACAAAUUAGAGUAACUUGUCUUAACUGUAUUGAGGCGGGAAGAAGAAAAAGAAGACAAGAGGAAGGAAGGAAAUAAGAAAAAGCUGAAUUUAAAUC
rnacentral:lncRNA from 10 species